AUGAACAGUGUGUGCGUUACUGUAGCGACGAGGGCAGCGAAAGCGAGCAGGCGGCGCAGCGAAGCGAACAGCGAGAGAAAAGGGGAAGCGAGCACGCAGCGCGAGAGAAAAGACCUAGCCCGUGCCCCCGCAGCCGCCUCCUCUCCUGCCGCCGCCGCCGCCGCCUCGUCCUCGUCUCCUUUCUUGCCCUCAGCGCCGCCUCCUCUCCUUCCUCUCUCUCCCUCUGCGCCACCUCCUCUCCUCUUCAUGCAUGGCGGCGUCUCGUCAUCCCCAGCCCCCGCCCAUCCCCAGCCUCCCCAAUCCCCUCCUCCCGCACGAACCCUAGCAGAGAGAGAAGAUGAGAGGGAGAGAGAGAAGGAAGGAGAGGAGAGGAGGGAGAAAGAGAGAGGAAAGAGGAGAGGGAGGUGUGGCGGCUGA
rnacentral:rRNA from 1 species